rnacentral:piRNA from 1 species
UCCAGAAGAAAAAGGCUUGUGAACAUGCCA